rnacentral:rRNA from 1 species
UACAGAGGUCCCAAGCGUUGUUCGGAUUCACUGGGCGUAAAGGGUGCGUAGGUGGUGAGGUAAGUCGGAUGUGAAAUCUCCGAGCUCAACUCGGAAAUGGCAUUGGAAACUACCUUGCUUGAGGGUUGGAGGGGGGACUGGAAUACUUGGUGUAGCAGUGAAAUGCGUAGAUAUCAAGUGGAACACCAGUGGCGAAGGCGAGUCCCUGGACAACUACUGACACUGAGGCACGAAAGCUAGGGGAGCAAACAGG